rnacentral:lncRNA from 1 species
UACCUACGACAUCUAGAACUUCUUAUCUUCACGCGAGAGGUAGUGUGUGCUAGCACGAGCUUGUGCCUACGGCAUCUUGCACUUUCAGCAGCCUUCUGAGAGUCUGAUUAGUUAUCCCUCUAGAGAUUCUCUAAGGUUCUCCUUCUGCUUCUCGAGCGACUCGGGCUUUGCAGGGAUCUUGUAAGUUAGCACCACCUCAAAGUCGUCAAGGUCUUUUCGAGGGUUUGAUAAGUUAGCCCUCACGAGUGGUGUUGUGUGCAUGCGGCAAUCUUG